ACGACGCGCCUGCUUUAUGCACCUCUUGCUUUCUUAUCAUAUACUGUCCCGUCGUUGUUUACGCAGUUUCGGCAUGCAGUCGUGUUUUGAGAGACUUAUAUCGUUUAUUCGAAGUUCAAUAUUCCAAAUUUGUGUUAUACUCGAAGAUCAAUUGACUAUUUAUUUGUACUUUUCGACUAUAGUAAUUUGUUUAAUGUUUGUAAAUGCCGAUAUUUGUUCGCGUUUGCUAUGUAUAUUACAAGUCACGGGAUAGUGGAUUUGAUAACAUUCUUCACUCGGCGUUGUGUUUGGUGUCGGUUGCUAAAUUAAUCGGAUAUAUAUAGGUAUAUCGCCACAUAUUGAUUCUCAUCAUUAUGAAAGAACCAUCAGGCUCGUUUACACCACUCGUUCUACUCGGCUGUCCAAUAAGCUGUACCCCGUUUUUGGACGAAGCAGUGGGUAAGUUUAUCCAUUAGGACCAACUGGAAGGGUUCCGUGGUAUUAGCGGAGUGCGUAUUGAGGAUGAUGUUUUGAUUACUGAAGAUGGAUGUGUCAAGUGGACUAAAGUUCCAAGAACUAUUCAAGAAAUUGAAGAUUGGAUUGCCGGUGUUGAUUAAAAGUUGGAAUUUUAAAAUUCUGUUUUCGACUUGUGAUAGAUAAUUUAAUUCUACAUCGAUUAUUUAAGUAACUUUUUAGCUAACGGUAACCGUUUAGGCCCUAUUAGGAAUUUCAAUGAAACAUUUGCAUGUCGUCGGAAUAGUCUAAUAUAGAAGAUUAAAAUUGUAAUUAUCUCGACAACUAAGAAGGCUAGAAAAGAUAGAAAAUCAUAUUCUUAGUGCUUGAAAAAUUCUUUUCAAGAUGGCACCCUAAUGAAACCCUAGAUAAAAUUCUAAAUCGGAAACCAGUAACACACUUGUAGAUUAAGGCCCUAUUGGCAUGUAAAAAACAUAUUUUUAAUUAAAAUUGCAAAUAGAUCCUAAAGGGUCAAUGUUAAGAAAAUAAUUACUUAAAUAGUCGAUAUAGAAUUAAAUUAUAUCUAUCAAAAUCCGAAAACAGAAUUGCAAAAUUCCAAGUAUUUCAUAAGUGGCAUUUGGUGAAAAAAGAUUUUGUCAUAAAAAAGGCAAAACAUUUCUCUUUUUUAUGUUGGAAUUUUCCUAAUCUGUUUUCGGAACCUGUUAGAUACUUUAAUUCUAUAUCGAUCAUUUAUGUAAUAAUUCUUGCUAGUAUAGACCGUUUAGGCCCUAUUAGCAAUUUUAAUCAAAAAUGUGCAUGCCGUCGGAACCUGACUACAUUAUUAUGCGAAGUAUAUUGCAAAUAGGGCCAUAACGGUCACUGUUAGCAAACAAAUUUACUUUAAUAAUCGACGUAAAAUUAAAAUCUAUCAGAAUCCAAAA